GCUGAGCAGAAAACCAGGAAAUGGAUGGACUCCACCUCCGCAGCCACGCCUGCCCGUUUGCGCUUACUGAACAGAGGUCCUCAGGAACGUGAGCCCCUCUUCUUGGGCCUGCGAUUCCUCACCUGGAAGGGAGAAGAGUGGACUUCCUGCCUAGAGAACACCUUGGUAAACUCUUUGUGGUUCCUGUCAUGAGAAGGUGUGCAGCUUAGGGAAAAAGCCUGUGAGCUCUGGAAUCAGAUGGAACUGGAUAUGAAUUUCCAUUUAGUGCUUGUUGGAUUAAAUGUGAUGCUACUUCUCCCAGCCGAAAGAAUAAAACUGGUAAGAGGAAGGGAAAUGCAGCCUCAGUAAGGAGGCCUCCA
ensembl:lncRNA EWSAT1 Ewing sarcoma associated transcript 1